CAAGAGUUGAAAGUGUUUGCAGAUUAAUGGGUGCUCCUGAAGAAGUAAAUUAGUAAGCUCAGCCAAGCAAUGUUUGCACCACUGCCAUUUCUGGGCUCUACUUCACAGUGUCUUUGUACACUUGCCAAGAGCCAAGAGGAAGUUUUCUUGACCAUGGAGCAGAUUCUUAGAGUUGGACUGUGCCCAUAAUGAAGUAAGUGAAAGCAUCUGUGGAGGCCUUAAAAAAGAGUCCUCACUGCCUUCAGUCCAUGUGGCAACGUUACACCUGAGCUGAGCCUGCCCUCUGGGACACACCAGUUUUGAAGAUUCAAGGCAGAAAUGGAAGGAAAGAACCUGUUUUCCAGAACAGAACCGUUUGAUUUUGAGUUUUACAUUACAUUUCAUCCAGAGCUAAUGAAGGUUAACCCCAGUGGUAACCACUAGUUCUGCAUUAACAAGCAGAGGAGAGCAGUCAUUAGGAAUAAAAUUAUCCAUGUGGAUCUGUUAGGAUUUGUAGCCCUAGCCCCUCU